rnacentral:rRNA from 1 species
AUUGAACGCUGGCGGCAGGCCUAACACAUGCAAGUCGAGCGGAGCGGCGGACGGGUGAGUAAUGCCUCGGAAUCUGCCUGGUAGUGGGGGAUAACGUCCGGAAACGGGCGCUAAUAUCGCAUACCAUCAACUGAGCCUAGGUCGGAUUAGCUAGUUGGUGGGGUAAAGGCCUACCAAGGCGACGAUCGUGACCUGGUCUGAGAGGAUGAUCAGUCACACUGAAACUGAGACACGGUCCAGAUGCCUACGGGAGGCAGCAGUGGGGAAUAUUGUACAAUGGGCGAAAGCCUGAUCCAGCCAUGCCGCGUGUGUGAAGAAGGGCUUCGGAUUGUAAAGCACUUUAAGUUGGGAGGCGUUACCAACAGAAUAAGCACCGGCUAACUUCGUGCCAGCCGCCGCGGUAAUAC